GUAGAUGAUGAAAAUGCACUGGGCUCUGAGCUAACUGUUGACAACAGCUAAGCUUAUGUGAUGCACAUUUGCAGCCUAGAAAGCUAUGUCUGAUCA